rnacentral:rRNA from 1 species
CAGCAGCCGCGGGAAUACGUAGGUGGCAAGCGUCGUCCGGAAUUAUUGGGCGUAAAGGGCUCGCAGGCGGUUUCUUAAGUCUGAUGUGAAAGCCCCCGGCUCAACCGGGGAGGGUCAUUGGAAACUGGGAAACUUGAGUGCAGAAGAGGAGAGUGGAAUUCCACGUGUAGCGGUGAAAUGCGUAGAGAUGUGGAGGAACACCAGUGGCGAAGGCGACUCUCUGGUCUGUAACUGACGCUGAGGAGCGAAAGCGUGGGGAGCGAACAGGAUUAGAUACCCGAGUAGUCCCUGUCUCUUAUAC